GGACAGAUGGCCGAGAUGGUUAUGGCGCCAGGUUAAGGUUAUACCUUAAUUACAUGUGAUAUAUCACAUAGUUUCCUGGUCACGAAAGUGGCGUGGGUUCGAGUCCCACUCUGUUCA
rnacentral:tRNA from 1 species